rnacentral:rRNA from 1 species
GCAUAUCAAUAAGCGGAGGAAAAGAAACCAACAGGGAUUGCCUCAGUAACGGCGAGUGAAGCGGCAAAAGCUCAAAUUUGAAACCCUCGGGAUUGUAAUUUGAAGAUUUGGCAUUGGAGAAAGCUAACCCAAGUUGCUUGGAAUAGUACGUCAUAGAGGGUGACAACCCCGUCUGGCUAACCGUUCUCCAUGUAUUGCCUUAUCAAAGAGUCGAGUUGUUUGGGAAUGCAGCUCAAAGUGGGUGGUAAACUCCAUCUAAAGCUAAAUACUGGUGAGAGACCGAUAGCGAACAAGUACUGUGAAGGAAAGGUGAAAAGAACUUUGAAAAGAGAGUGAAAUAGUAUGUGAAAUUGUUGAUAGGGAAGGAAAUGAGUGGAGAGUGGCCGAGGUUUCAGCCGCCCCUCGUGGGCGGUGUACUGCCGACGCCGAGUCAUCGAUAGCGAGACGAGGGUUACAAAUGGGAGCGCCUUUCGGGCGUUCUCCCCUAACCCUCCACACUGCCACCGACGACAUAAUCCACCCAUUUCACCCGUCUUGAAACACGGACCAAGGAGUCUAAUGGAUAUGUGAGUGUUAGGGUGGCAAACCCCAGCGCGCAAUGAAAGUGAAUGGAUUCGUUCAGAAUCGACCGAACUUGAUUAUUAUGACAGUUUUGAGUAAACACAUCCAUUGGGACCCGAAAGAUGGUGAACUAUGCCUGGAUAGGGUGAAGUCAGAGGAAACUCUGAUGGAGGCUCGUAGCGGUUCUGACGUGCAAAUCGAUCGUAGGAUCUGGGUAUAGGGGCGAAAGACUAAUCGAACCAUCUAGUAGCUGGUUCCUGCCGA